rnacentral:rRNA from 1 species
AGGAUGAACGCUGGCGGCGUGCUUAACACAUGCAAGUCGAACGGUGAAAGAGGAGCUUGCUCCUCUGGAUCAGUGGCGAACGGGUGAGUAACACGUGAGUAACCUGCCCUUGACUCUGGGAUAAGCGUUGGAAACGACGUCUAAUACCGGAUACGACCUCCGAAGGCAUCUUCUGGAGGUGGAAAGAAUUUCGGUCAAGGAUGGACUCGCGGCCUAUCAGCUAGUUGGUGAGGUAACGGCCCACCAAGGCGACGACGGGUAGCCGGCCUGAGAGGGUGACCGGCCACACUGGGACUGAGACACGGCCCAGACUCCUACGGGAGGCAGCAGUGGGGAAUAUUGCACAAUGGGCGCAAGCCUGAUGCAGCAACGCCGCGUGAGGGACGACGGCCUUCGGUUGUAACCUCUUUAGUAGGGAGAAGCGAAAGUGACGGUACCUGCAGAAAAGCACCGGCUAACUACGUGCCAGCAGCCGC